rnacentral:pre_miRNA from 17 species
UGGUGGCAGCGUGGCUGUUGGAUAUAUGGCGUCAUUUACUUGAACUUUUGGAAGUGACAUCAAAUAUCCAGCAGCUAAACUGCCAUGGGGGA